rnacentral:rRNA from 1 species
UCUGCGAGCAAGGGGAGAAUCUGUGCGAGAGCAACGGCGCGAGAGACGAUGAUAGUAUUUCUAUACGUAAUUCUCUAUCAUUAGAGGAAGAAUAAAUGAUGGAAACAUCAUUCUGACGGUACUUAAUGAAUAAGCCCCGGCUAAUUAUGUGCCAGCAGCCGCGGUAAUACAUAGGGGGCAAGCGUUAUCCGGAAUUAUUGGGCGUAAAGGGUGCGUAGGCGUUUAAAAAAGUUUAUGGUCUAAAGUGCAAUGCUUUAACAUGUCGAUGCUAUAAAAACUGUUUAGCUAGAGUAAGAUAGAGGGCAAGUGGAAUUCCCAUGUGUAGGUGGUAAAAUGCGUAAAUAUAUGGAGGAACACCAGUAGCGAAGGCGGCCUUGCUGGGUCUUUACUGACGCUGAGGCACGAAAGCGUGGGGGAGCAAACAGGAUUAGAUACCCCUGGUAGUCCCACGCCGUAAACGAUGAGUACUAAAUGUUGGGUAAAACCAGUGUUGAAGUUAACACAUUAAGUACUCCGCCUGAGUAGUACGUACGCAAGUAUGAAACUUAAAGGAAUUGACGGGACUCCGCACAAGCGGUGGAUCAUGUUGUUUAAUUCGAAGAUACCCGAAAAACCUCACCAGGUCUUGACAUGUUUUUGCAAAGCUGUAGAAACACAGUGGAGGUUAUCAGUUGCACAGGUGGUGCAUGGUUGUCGUCAGCUCGUGUCGUGAGAUGUUGGGUUAAGUCCCGCAACGAGCGCAACCCUUAUCGUUAGUUGCCAGCACGUAAUGGUGGGGACUUUAACGAGACUGCCAGUGAUAAAUUGGAGGAAGGUGGGGAUGACGUCAAAUCAGCAUGCCCCUUAUGACCUGGCUACAAACUUUCCCC